CUGCCCGUAGCUCAGUUGGAUAGAGCAACGGCCUUCUAAGCCGUGGGUCGGGGGUUCGAUUCCCUUCGGGCAGGCCA
rnacentral:tRNA from 1 species